rnacentral:lncRNA from 1 species
UUAGUUAUUAAAACUAGUUAAUUACAGGAUUACGGUUGAAAUCUGGGAAUACGGAUUAAGUAUAUAGAAAUUGUAGAAGUUAGUAUAAGUAUCAGACUAUGAUAGUCAUGAGCCGGGGUAAGCUUGGUGCUACCUCUUUGUUUCUUUGUUUUCUUUGUUGUUGAAGAAUAAUGAAUAGUUUCUGAAUACUGAGAAGUGAGUCUGUGGAAUAAAUCAGAGAUUAAUUUAUGAGUUAUUGAUUAUGUAAUUGGAGUACUGAGUGAUUGAAUUAUAUGAGGAGUUAUUGGAAGAUUAUGAUUGUUGUUUUUUUAGAGUUGUGUGUAUUUUGGAUAGAGGAAGUGUGUAAUUACAGAAAUUAUGUGAAUUUAGAUUGUUGGAGUAAAGUCUAUUAUUCCUAGUGUUGGAUGGAAAUUAUUGUAUUUUGAGCGGUACUUUGAGAGUGCAGAGUUGCACACUGUUGUUAACAGUUGAUGAAGGAUUAUUGUUACUAGGAGAAAGCAUUGUAGUAUUUUUUAGUAUUUUAGUAAUUUGGAAUAUACUUAAUUGUGUAAUUCUAACAAGUAAAAUUCAUGCACUUAGUCUUUCCUUGUAUACAAAUUCUCCUAUACAUGUUUAUUCUAAAAAGAAUUGUAGAAUAAGUAAAACGACAAUCACAAGGAUACUCCUAUCUCUUAGUCUUACAAAUUUGGUGAAUAAAGUCUACAAUUGAAUAUGAAAAUUUCAGCAUAUAUCUUAUCAAAGUCAAAAAUAGUAACAAAACAUUCU